rnacentral:rRNA from 1 species
UACAGAGGUCUCGAGCGUUAGGCGGAAUCACUGGGCUUAAAGCGCGUGUAGGUGGAUGCCUAAGUACCUUGUGAAAUCCCACAGCUUAACUGUGGAACUGCUUGGUAUACUGGGUGUCUUGAGUCACUCAGGGGCGAGCGGAACAAAUGGUGGAGCGGUGAAAUGCGUAGAUAUCAUUUGGAACGCCAAUGGUGAAAACAGCUCGCUGGGGGUGUACUGACACUGAGACACGAAAGCCAGGGGAGCGAACGGG